rnacentral:rRNA from 1 species
CACGUAGGGUGCGAGCGUUGUCCGGAAUUAUUGGGCGUAAAGAGCUCAUAGGCGGUUCGUCGCGUCGGCUGUGAAAUCCCGAGGCUCAACCUCGGGUCUGCAGUCGAUACGGGCGGACUGGAGUUCGGCAGGGGAGACUGGAAUUCCUGGUGUAGCGGUGAAAUGCGCAGAUAUCAGGAGGAACACCGGUGGCGAAGGCGGGUCUCUGGGCCGAUACUGACGCUGGAGGAGCGAAAAGCCGUGGGGAGCGAACAGG